rnacentral:rRNA from 1 species
UACGGAGGGAGCUAGCGUUGUUCGGAAUUACUGGGCGUAAAGGGCGCGUAGGUGGUCUGAUAAGGGUGUGGUGAAAGCCCGGGGCUCAACCCCGGGUCGGCCGUGCCGACUGUUAGACUAGAGUGCUGUAGGGGCAGGCGGAAUUCCGGGUGUAGCGGUGGAAUGCGUAGAUAUCCGGAGGAACACCGGUGGCGAAGGCGGCUUCCUGGACCGACACUGACGCUGAGGCGCGAAAGCUAGGGGAGCAAACGGG